GACUGAUGGUCUGACCCCCCUCCUCCUUCAGGGUGGAGCCUGCUGGAGUCCCAUUCUUGACACCAGGUGUGAGGAAGUAUUCCUGUCAACUCACCAUCGACACAAACACAGUGAACAGAAAACUCAAACUGUCUGAAGACAUCAGGAAGGUGACAUAUGUGAAGGAGCUUCAGUCAUAUCCUGAUCAUCCAGACAGAUUUGAUUGUUAUCAUCAGCUGCUGUGUAGAACUGGUUUGACUGGUCGCUGUUACUGGGAGGUUGAGUGGAGAGGAGAAGUUUAUAUAUCAGUGAGUUACAGAAGAAUCAGGAGGAAAGGAAACAGUAGAGGACUGUUGGUUUGGAUGGAAUGAUCAUUCCUGGAGUCUGAGCUGCUCUGAUGUUGGUUACUCUGUCUGGCACAAUGACAUAGAAACUCGUCUCUCUUCCUCCUCUGUUUCUAACAGAGUAGCAGUGUAUGUGGACUGUCCUGCUGGCAUUCUGUCCUUCUACAGAGUUUCCUCUGACUCACUGAUCCUCCUCCACUCCUUCAACACCACAUUCACUGAACCUCUGGUUCCUGGUUUUGGGUUCUCGUGGCUCAGGUCCGGUUCCUCAGUGUUUCUGUGCUGAUUUGAGUCUAAAGAGUCUAAAGAUUUUCCUCCUGUCAGAGAAACUCUCUCACUGUUGAACAGAUAGUUCAGUCUCUACAAUCUGUUUCUUGAUGAAACAAUUUUGAUUGAAUCCUUGGAAACUUUUUAUUCUUCCAGUCCUAAAAAGAUGGAAGCUGGGAUUAUUCCAGGAUUAUUCCAGGAAUAUUCCAGGAUCCUCAUGUUUUUCUGUUUGUUUCCAGUCAAAGCUUCACACUGAAUAUCAAGAUGUUGUUCUCUUAUUUUUUCCUUUCAUUCAUCAGAUUUCAUUGAAAUGUUGAUCAGUUUU